AUUUCCGUGUGCAAGUUUUAAUUAACUAUAGUCUACGUGAUGUUCUAUGGUGCAAGAGAUUCUGCGAGAUUCUGCAUCGUUCAAAGAAGCAAUGUGAUUAGCAGUAUAUAGGAAUUAUUUUUGGUUUAGGAGAAUGUGCUGGGCACAAACUUAAACAUAACGAUAGACAAUGUACUAAAUUAAUCUUUUACGAUCUUUUAAGAAUUAUUUCAACCUAAAAUACGAUUGAAUCUAUCAAAUAUUAAAGUUCUAAAUUUCAACUCCUUCUCAUAAUCAUUGCCAAAAAAUAUUAUUGCAACAUUUUAGCUUUUAGUUAGAAGGUAAACAAGGUGGAUGGAGUAAAAGUUCUUACAAGAACGUUACCUUGUAAUUUAUAAGAUUUAAUCUUGUUACUUGUUUGCCUUGGGUGAACGUGCUUAACUAACCUGGCAACAAGAGUUUUUGAAUCAAGCAAAUUACCUUCCCUAGUUUGUUUAGUCCCUAGUUUAGUUAGUUGUCCAUAGAUGAGUACUCGUUUACAAUUGCGGGAUUCAGUUCAGUACACGCCAGUUCAUUUGGAACCUCUACAAGAAUAUGUAAUAGACUACGACAAGUAUAGAAAGACAGAAAACGUAAAGAAAAUGGUGAAAACAUUCGUCAAAGGAUUAUCUUUCAGCCAGUUUCCUCUUAGGCUGAUUGAAUCCUUUGCAACCAGAGCCAAAGGACAUAAUCAACUGGAGGUGAAGCAGUUUAAAAUUCUGAUGUAAACGAGCGUCUAAGAUGACAAGUUGUCUUGUACUGCGAACGUGAAAUUCUCGACUGAACGUUAAAACCUCGUGUCUCAAUUAAUUCAGGAACUUACGCUACACAACAAUUCAGCUACACAACAGUAACCUUGAAUAACUUGUGUGGUUCAGGUAAUAUCAGGUGUGGGGAUCGAACCCACGUCUCUAUGUAGAGACCAGAACUUAAGUCUGGCGCCUUAACCACUCGGCCAACCUGAUUGUGUUAGUAGGUAAUGACCCCUAAAAGUUAUGAAAAUUUAGCAAGACGUAAAGUUGAUUUUGGGUUACUAAGGGCUACACGGACGCUGCUAAAGUUUAACCUAAAUUGGGAUUCCGUUAGUCUAUGAACGCAUGCAAACUAUGGAAUAUGGAAAUGGUGUUGAAGACGUUUACAGCUAUUCAUAACGAAUGUUGACUGUGUGACGUCUGGCCGUGGUAAAGACUUUUGUGUAUCGUGCUAGAUAUUGGAGGUUGAAUAUACGAUGCAACCUUAUAACGCAUAACUGGCUGAAUCUUGUUCAUGUUAAAGAAGCGUGUGGGCUGCUAGGCUGGUCACAAGACUUAUUUCGUCACACAAUCAACCACCAUAACUUCAUAGAAGCAUUGUCAUCCAUGCCAUUCAGUUUGGUGUGCUGUUUGAGCCUACGAAGAAAUUGCUCCAAAAUUUGAACGCUACGAUCAUCUUUCGGUAUUC